CCCAUUUAUCCUAAAACUUAAAAAAAAUAUCUACUAAUGUCUAAAUAUAAAGCCCAAUCCAACCAAAAAUAAAAGAUUACUCUACUCAACCCACCACACCUAGUCCAUUUGGCCCGAUUACAAACAGAAAAGAAAAAAAAAAAAAAUCAAUUACCAUCUUUUUUUCUCUCUUCACUCCAUCCACUGAAAUUCUAGACGAAGAGCCUUUCCUGUCGUCAUUCUCCGCCACCGCAGCCAACGAGAUAGAGUUUUGGCGGUUGCUAAAUGCUUAAAUAAGUGUUGGUAAAUUAGCAGCACUCUUUUAGGUUAUAGCGACACUCUUU
rnacentral:lncRNA from 1 species